UGACCUCAGAUCAGGUAGGACUACCCGCUGAACUUA
rnacentral:rRNA from 1 species